rnacentral:tRNA from 1 species
AAAUAAGCGGCAGAUGAGUUUGCAAUCAGUUUCGGCCUGAUUUUAGAGUUAAUAUUCCUUAUUUA